UACGGAGGGUCCAAGCGUUAUCCGGAAUUAUUGGGUUUAAAGGGUCCGCAGGCGGGCCAGUAAGUCAGAGGUGAAAGUUUGCGGCUUAACCGUAAAAUUGCCUUUGAUACUGCUGGUCUUGAGUUGCGGUGAAGUGGCCGGAAUAUGUGGUGUAGCGGUGAAAUGCAUAGAUAUCACAUAGAACNCCGAUUGCGAAGGCAGGUCACUAACCGCCGACUGACGCUGAUGGACGAAAGCGUGGGGAGCGAACGGGAUUAGAUACCCCGGUAGUCCACGCCGUAAACGAUGGACACUAGCUGUCGGGCCAAUUUGGUUCGGCGGCCCAGCGAAAGUGAUAAGUGUCCCACCUGGGGAGUACGUCGGCAACGAUGAAACUCAAAGGAAUUGACGGGGGCCCGCACAAGCGGUGGAGCAUGUGGUUUAAUUCGAUGAUACGCGAGGAACCUUACCAGGGCUUAAAUGUAGUGGGACAGGGGUAGAGAUACCUUUUUCUUCGGACUCAUUACAAGGUGCUGCAUGGUUGUCGUCAGCUCGUGCCGUGAGGUGUCAGGUUAAGUCCUAUAACGAGCGCAACCCCUACCGUUAGUUGCCAGCGAGUAAUGUCGGGGACUCUAACGGGACUGCCGGUGCAAACCGUGAGGAAGGUGGGGAUGACGUCAAAUCAUCAUGGCCCUUACGA
rnacentral:rRNA from 1 species